rnacentral:rRNA from 1 species
GUAGGUGGCAAGCGUUGUCCGGAAUUAUUGGGCGUAAAGCGCGCGCAGGCGGUUCGUUUAAGUCUGAUGUGAAAGCCCGCGGGCUCAACCGUGGAGGGUCAUUGGAAACUGGAGAACUUGAGUACAGAAGAGGAAAGCGGAAUUCCACGUGUAGCGGUGAAAUGCGUAGAGAUGUGGAGGAACACCAGUGGCGAAGGCGGCUUUCUGGUCUGUAACUGACGCUGAGGCGCGAAAGCGUGGGGAGCAAACAGGAUUAGAUACCCUGGUAGUCCACGCCGUAAACGAUGAGUGCUAAGUGUUAGGGGGGUUUCCGCCCCUUAGUGCUGCAGCUAACGCAUUAAGCACUCCGCCUGGGGAGUACGGCCGCAAGGCUG